GUCCACGCCGUAAACGAUGAUCACUCGCUGUUUGCGAUAUACAGUAAGCGGCUGAGCGAAAGCAAUAAGUGAUCCACCUGGGGAGUACGAUCGCAAGGUUGAAACUCAAAGGAAUUGACGGGGGCCCGCACAAGCGGAGGAACAUGUGGUUUAAUUCGAUGAUACGCGAGGAACCUUACCUGGGCUUAAAUGGGGAGUGACAGCUGCAGAAAUGUGGUUUUCUUCGGACACUCUUCAAGGUGCUGCAUGGUUGUCGU
rnacentral:rRNA from 1 species